CCUACGGGGGGCAGCAGUGAGGAAUAUUGGUCAAUGGGCUUACGCCUGAACCAGCCAAGUCGCGUGAGGGAAGACUGCCCUAUGGGUUGUAAACCUCUUUUGUCAGGGAGCAACGCCGGCUACGUGUAGCCGGACUGAGAGUACCUGAAGAAAAAGCAUCGGCUAACUCCGUGCCAGCAGCCGCGGUAAUACGGAGGAUGCGAGCGUUAUCCGGAUUUAUUGGGUUUAAAGGGUGCGUAGGCGGAAUGCCAAGUCAGCGGUAAAAUCGCGGGGCUCAACCUCGCCCCGCCGUUGAAACUGGCGUGCUUGAGUGGGCGAGAAGCAUGCGGAAUGCGUGGUGUAGCGGUGAAAUGCAUAGAUAUCACGCAGAACUCCGAUUGCGAAGGCAGCAUACCGGCGCCCAACUGACGCUGAAGCACGAAAGCGUGGGUAUCGAACAGGAUUAGAUACCCCUGUAGUC
rnacentral:rRNA from 1 species